rnacentral:rRNA from 1 species
UACGUAGGCAGCGAGCGUUGUUCGGAAUUACUGGGCGUAAAGAGGGUGUAGGCGGUGCUCUAAGUUCGGUGUGAAAUCUCCCGGCUUAACUGGGAGGGUGCGCCGGAAACUGGAGUGCUCGAGCGUGGGAGAGGAAAGCGGAAUUCCUGGUGUAGCGGUGAAAUGCGUAGAUAUCAGGAGGAACACCUGCGGUGUAGACGGCUUUCUGGACCAUUGCUGACGCUGAGACACGAAAGCGUGGGUAGCAAACAGG